rnacentral:tRNA from 1 species
GCUCAUUGGUCUAGGGGUAUGAUACACGUUUAGGGUGCGAGUGGUCCCGGUUUCGAAUCCCGGACGAGCCA